rnacentral:lncRNA from 1 species
UGGACACGGUGACACCCCCGGAUGUGGUGACACCCCCGGACAUGGUGACACCAGACAUGGUGACACAGGACACGGUGACACUGGACACGGUGACACUGGACACGGUGACACUGGACACGGUGACACCCCCGGACAUGGUGACACCCCCGGACACGGUGACACCUCUGGACACGGU